rnacentral:rRNA from 1 species
UACAGAGGUCCCAAGCGUUGUUCGGAUUCACUGGGCGUAAAGGGUGCGUAGGUGGCGGGGUAAGUUUGGUGUGAAAUCUCCCGGCUCAACUGGGAGGGUGCGCCGAAUACUGAAUGACUUCGAGUGCGGGAGAGGAAAGUGGAAUUCCUGGUGUAGCGGUGAAAUGCGUAGAUAUCAGGAGGAACACCGGUGGUGUAGACGGCUUUCUGGACCGUAACUGACGCUGAGACACGAAAGCGUGGGUAGCAAACAGG